GAUGAACGCUGGCGGCGUGCCUAAUACAUGCAAGUCGAGCGAACAGACGAGGAGCUUGCUCCUCUGACGUUAGCGGCGGACGGGUGAGUAACACGUGGAUAACCUACCUAUAAGACUGGGAUAACUUCGGGAACCGGAGCUAAUUCCGGAUAAUAUUUUUAACCGCAUGGGUUAAUAGUUAAAGACGGUUUUUGUGUUACUUAUAGGUUGAUCCGCGCCGCAUUAGCUAGUUGGUAAGGUAACGGCUUACCAAGGCAACGAUGCGUAGCCGACCUGAGAGGGUGAUCGGCCACACUGGAACUGAGACACGGUCCAGACUCCUACGGGAGGCAGCAGUAGGGAAUCUUCCGCAAUGGGCGAAAGCCUGACGGAGCAACGCCGCGUGAGUGAUGAAGGUCUUCGGAUCGUAAAACUCUGUUAUUAGGGAAGAACAAAUGUGUAAGUAACUAUGCACGUCUUGACGGUACCUAAUCAGAAAGCCACGGCUAACUACGUG
rnacentral:rRNA from 1 species